AUACGGAGGGUGCGAGCGUUAAUCGGAAUUACUGGGCGUAAAGCGUGCGUAGGCGGUUUGUUAAGUCAGAAGUGAAAGCCCUGGGCUCAACCUGGGAACGGCUUUUGAGACUGGCAGACUAGAGUUGAGUAGAGGGGAGUGGAAUUUCCGGUGUAGCGGUGAAAUGCGUAGAGAUCGGAAGGAACACCAGUGGCGAAGGCGACUCCCUGGACUCAAACUGACGCUGAGGUGGGAAAGCGUGGGGAGCAAACAGGAUUAGAAACCCUUGUAGUCC
rnacentral:rRNA from 1 species